rnacentral:rRNA from 1 species
UACAGGGGGGGCAAGCGUUGUUCGGAAUUACUGGGCGUAAAGGGCUCGUAGGUGGCCAACUAAGUCAGACGUGAAAUCCCUCAGCUUAACUGGGGAACUGCGUCUGAUACUGGAUGGCUUGGAUUUGGGAGAGGGAUGCGGAAUUCCAGGUGUAGCGGUGAAAUGCGUAGAUAUCUGGAGGAACACCGGUGGCGAAGGCGGCAUCCUGGACCAAUAUUGACGCUGAGGAGCGAAAGCUAGGGGAGCAAACGGG